rnacentral:lncRNA from 1 species
GUCUUCUUGCAUUUUAUUCAAGUAAAAUUUGUCUUUUUGCAUUAUUUUAAAAAUAAAAUAUGUUUAUUAUACAUUUUGUACUAUCUUCCAUUUUUGAGGUACAAAUAAGAAUUUUACAAAUUGUUAUGCCUUACUAUUUGAAGUGCCUUUUUAUUCUGUAUAACACUGUGAUACUAUUUCUUGUUGACAAAUUUUUAUGUUUCUUUUCACUUCAUAGCAGCCUACUGAAUGGUGUAUAGAAAACAAGGUAUUUGAACAUGUGAUUUUUACUUCAUUUUAAUGCUCACUUGAAAAGUGAAUUAAUAUGCAACAGAGUGAAACAUUAUUUGUGCAUUACUAUAAUGAAGUGCCUUUUAUUUUGUGUAAUAAUGUUUAAAUAUGCCUAGAUGAACAAAUUUUAUAUUUAUUUUGUAUUAUUAAAAACAGCAUAUUACUAGGGAAAGUAAAUAAAGAAGGCUUCCCAAGUAUGAGAUUUAAGAUUUUUCGAAAUGAGUGUUUUCCCUUUGCAAAGAACUUGAACCAAAUUGAGUCUCUUAUUAUUCCAAUCUCUACCUUUAAUUUGGUUUGCAUGAGUGGGUUUGUCUUCAGUGGCGGAUCCAGAGGGAGGUUUCCGGGGGUUGGAACCCCUCGUUUUUUUGGCGGAUCAAUGCAUUUGAAUGGGGACAUAUAGUUGGACCCCCCCCUUUAUCCUAGAUUGGGGACCCCCCCUUUUCAAAAUGGCUGGAUCCGCCCUGGUCUUCAUAUAUUUCCAACUUCAAUACAUUCAUUAGAUGUUUUAAUUGAAUAAUGGGAUAAUUUAACAAAGCCUUUUUAGUGACCAAAAGAUAUAUUGCAAUAAAUACAAUACUCUGCCUCUUUGUCCAUAAGACUUGUACGUUCAACUCCUGCUUAAGUGUUUGUAAAACAAAACCAAAAUAUGUGGAACAAUUUCACAGAAUAUCUGGUGUUUAGCAAAUCUAGACAGAUAACAAUGAAAAGUUACCAUCACAAUUGUAGAACACUACCUCAUGAUGUGCUUAUAGGAAUACAACCCUGUCCUAGACAUUAAAGUGAGAUAAUUAAAGUUCUUAAUAAGGGGAGAUAAUUGAAGUUCUCAAUAAGGGGAGAUAACUGAAGUUCUCAAUAAGGGGAGAUAACUGAAGUUCUCAAAAAGGGGAGAUCAUUGAAGUCAUCAAUAAGGGGGGACAUAAAUGAAGUUCUCAAGAAGGCGAGAUAAUUGAAGUUCUUAGUAAGGGGAGAUAAUUGAAGUUCUAAAUAAGGAGAGAUCAUUGAAGUUCUUAAUAAGGGGAGAUAAUUGAAGUUCUCAAUAAGGGGAGAUAACUGAAGUUCUCAAUAAGGGGAGAUAACUGAAGUUCUCAAAAAAGGGGAGAUCGUUGAAGUCAUCAAUAAGGGGACAUAAAUGAAGUUCUCAAGAAGGGGAGAUAAUUGAAGUUCUCUAUAAGGGGAGAUAAUUGAAGUUCUUAAUAAGGGGAGAUAAUUGAAGUUCUAAAUAAGGGGAGAUCAUUGAAGUUCUUAAUAAGGGGAGAUAAUUGAAGUUCUCAAUUAGGGGAGAUAACUGAAGUUCUCAAAAAAGGGGAGAUUGUUGAAGUUAUCAAUAAGGGGACAUAAAUGAAGUUCUCAAGAAGGGGAGAUAAUUGAAGUUCUCUAUAAGGGGAGAUAAUUGAAGUUCUUAAUAAGAGGAGAUAUUGAAGUUCUAAUAAGGGGAGAUCAUUGAAGUUCUUAAUAAGGGAGAUCAUUGGAGCUCUCAAUUCAAUGUUGCAAUAUGUCACAUGAGUCUGUUGUAAGCACAACUCUUUCCAACUGGUUAGACUAAUUUUGACAAAACUGUAAACAGCUAUGAAUCA